AAAUAAAUGAAAUUAUUCUCGGUUUGAUAAAUACGGUAUAGUAUGGUUUAAUACGUGUUAUUUAGAAGAGAGAUUAUGGUAAUGGUUUAGCGCGUAUAAUGCACGGGUUUUGUGUGCAUGUUUUAGCGCGAAAGCGCACGAGUUUUUCGUUUUGGGGUAUAUAUGAUUUGCAAAUCUAGUGAGACGCCAUUCGAGGGUUGUUUUUGACAGGCAUAGUUAUGGAGCAAGAAAACGAAAGGGUGGAUGGCAGUUUAUCAAUAAUGACGGAAAUUCAGAGCCUGUUGGACAGAAAAUUUUCGGACCUUCGAAAGGAUUUUCAAUUAGAAGCGGAAUGGGUUGCAGAAAAUUCGAGAAAAAAGGUUAGACUUGAUAGUUCUGUUUCUUUCAAUAACAUUGGUAACAAAAAGCAAUUUGAUUUCAAUAAUGAACUUUUUGACAUUGCGAACAUGUGUGAAAAGGCUCUUUCGUUAAGAUAAUUAGAAUUGCUGACAGUUCAUCUGCAGGUUGGAACACUGUCAAUGAGUAUGAGAUGAUUGACUAUGCAUCAGUAUUCGGAUGAUGAUAGAAAAAUUCGUAAGGCAGAGGAAAGAGCGGUUGCAAAAGCUGAUAAGCGAAAGAAAGCAAUGUUAAAUUCCACUGUUAAUUAUAAUGCUUUUCAAAACUCAACAUCCUAUAGUCAAGCAGGUCGCGGCAGCGGUAGAGGCAUUUUCGACCAGCUGGGAGAAGUCAUGUGUUACAAGUGCGGCAAUGUCGGACACUUCGCUUCCGGUUGUGCGGUCAACGUUGGGGCUCCCGGAAACGUUAUCGGUCGAGGACGGAGAGUACCACCAUCGGCCACAGUCUCUUCAGCUGCCCAACAGCAGCAAUUGGGACAACAGAAGCAUGAACAACAGUGACAAACGAACAUGGCAGGAUGAAAUGGACAGUGAUGGCAUUUUCAAAUCGGUUUGCAGUGCAGUAACUGGACAGUUCGAAUGGUAUACUAGUAUUUAGUAUUGGAGAACAUAAAGGUAUGGUUUAUGUAGUAUGUUAUUAUUAUUAUAAUGAUUAUGAUUAUGAUAUUUUUUAUUUCCGUUUUAAUAUUUAUCAUUAAUUUUGUAAAUAUUGUUUUAUUAUAUCUUUUUAAUUCUCUUGUGCAUUAUUCGAGUGGUCAUUUGACCGUUUGUGAAGGCCAGAGUGUGCCUGAUGUUGAUUAGCCGUUUGGCUUGUGUGGUCAUUUGACCGUUUGUGAAGGCCAGAGUGUGCCUGAUGUUGAUUAGCCGUUUGGCUUGUGUGGUCAUUUGACCGUUUGUGAAGGCCAGAGUGUGCCUGAUGUUGAUAAGCCAGUUGGCUUGUGUGGUCAGUUGACCGUUGUUUAAGGCCAUAGUGUGCCUAUUUUUGAUUGAAUUAAUUUUAUUGCUUUUACAAAUGUUUAUAAUUGUAUCUUUUCAGUUAAAACACAGUUCGAGAGGUAUAUAACGUGGUGGAGAAUAUUUAGUAUAUUUUCAGUUCGGUUUUUAGUCCAUGUGAGAUGGGAUCUUAACACGAACCGAUUCCUUUACUGGGAAAGACGAUGGGUGUAUUUUCAUUUAAGUCUGAAGCAGCUAAGUUUUCUUGAUUAUUUUUACUCAUUUUUUACUUAAUAUUGUGUUUGAAUAAGGUCUUUUAAGUUAUGGGUGUCAUGUUUUUCGAGACUCUCACUUCCUGGAGAUAGUACCUCCAGCAUACUUAUUGAAAUAUCGGUAUGUCUAAAUGUCAGUGUUAUUAUUUUUUGUUGUCGUUCGUAAUGAACGUUUAAUUUUAAAGACAUUUUUAUUGUACGAUUACUUAAUAUUUUCAUUUGGGUGUGACUUGAUAGAUGUUGAAGUCGGUUUAAUAUAGCUGUUAAAUUCGUCAUAUGCAUUUAUAUAUUUCUCGGAAUAUUUAUGAUUUAUCAACAUUCUUUUUAGAUGCCUUAUGGAUUUUAUGGCUUGAGUGACUUGUUUGUUUCUUGUUGAUGUCCGGGGUGUGUGCAGGAUGCUUUUGAUGUUUGUUUGUUAUGUUAACUUGCGCAAAGAAAUUGAUAAUGUUUUAAUUACAUUUUUUACUAUAAAAUACUUAAUGUUUACAGUAUCUUAAUAGCUGCUUAUUUGUAGAUUUCUCUAAAUUAGAGGUUUCGGGAGGUGAUGAAGGCACCUAGACACCGGUCUCGAGCAAUGGGUCCUCAAACGUCCCCCUGCCAUUAAAAGAAAAAAUAAGAAAACAAAAAAUGGCAGUAGGGUUGCGUAUCCCGCUCGCGGUUUUACCUGAAUCGUUUAUUACUACUGAUGGGGUGUACGUGAAGUCAUGUACACUUCUCUUGAUUGGUGGUGAUGGAUGAAUCUUGCAGAUAUUAGCAGCUUCUUUGAACAAAUUAAUGUUUCACAAUUGUUAAUUUAUAAUAUUUAAGCAAGUUAGCGUGAUUGAUGGGCAUUGGGGGCGUCCUGUGUGCACUUUGGGCAUCGGCCGGGAUCAGUUUAUUCAAACAGUAACUCUUUAUUUGAGAUAUAUACAUGACGUCUAAUUGUUAUGAAUACAUUUGCACUUUUUCACAUGACACACAUGUGCAUGUGAAGUGUUCAUAAUUACAUGCCCUACAGCAGUUAAAUAGUAUCGUUUCAGUUCUUUAUACACCUGAACAAAGAUGUUAAACCGUCUCCAGUCGUCUCGAGGCUAAUCAAUUGAGCGUUGCCGUUGAGGUCUAUAUACAUUGCACAUACAACACAUACGGGCGUCAGAAGAAUUGUUGUUUGCAUUUAUAUGUUGAAAGUCCUGUCAAAUACAAGCACUCACUCCUA